GAUGAACGCUGGCGGCGUGCCUAAUACAUGCAAGUCGAGCGAACAGACGAGGAGCUUGCUCCUCUGACGUUAGCGGCGGACGGGUGAGUAACACGUGGAUAACCUACCUAUAAGACUGGGAUAACUUCGGGAAACCGGCGCUAAUACCGGAUAACAUGUUGAACCGCAUGGUUCAACAGUGAAAGACGGUUUUGCUGUCACUUAUAGAUGGAUCCGAGCCGCAUUAGCUAGUUGGUAAGGUAACGGCUUACCAAGGCAACGAUGCGUAGCCGACCUGAGAGGGUGAUCGGCCACACUGGAACUUAGACACGGUCCAGACUCCUACGGGAGGCAGCAGUAGGGAAUCGUCCGCAGAGGGCGAAAGCCUGACGGAGCAACGCCGCGUGAGUGAAGAAGGUCUUCGGAUCGUAAAACUCUGUUAUUAGGGAAGAACAAAUGUGUAAGUAACUAUGCACGUCUUGACGGUACCUAAUCAGAAAGCCACGGCUAACUACGUG
rnacentral:rRNA from 1 species